GAAGAAUGGCAGUGAAGUUUGUCAGAGUGGUGCUUUCAGAGCCCACCUAACAGUGUUUGCUUUGUGCUGGAGGCUGUUGUGCAUUUGCACUGCAGGGAAUGAAUGUCCCUUCCCAAUUCAGCCCAGCAGAUCCCAAAGGCUUUUCCAGGAGUAUUUAUCCUUCACUUCCCUUUGUGAUAAUCUCCACCCUGCCAUGAGCCAUUCCUUGAUCUCUCCUGGAGAAAACCCCACUGCAGAGGCAGUUUGCAAAGGAGCCCCGAGCUGUGUUUGGAGCAGGGAGUGCUGAGAGCUGCGUCUGCCUGUGCUGGCCCAGCCUGGCAACAUCCACAGGGAACAGCCUGGGCAGGUGGGAUUGAUGGAGCAAAAUCCCUGCAGGGAAGAGGCUUUCUCCUGUGAACUUUGGCAAUCAGCUCAUUUCCCCCAGGAAGCAUCACUGACAGCAGCAUGAAUGACAAGACCUGUGCCCACUGCUCAGGAUUCACCAGCCAAGAUCAAGAGCAAAGAUGCUGGAAUUGCCUCUGUGGAUGUGCACUGAGCUCUCACUGCAGGGGACUGCCAGGCCUUAAUCUCUAUGUCCCUGGGGCCCUUGGCAGAGCUCCCUGGGAUUCAGCAGUGCCACCCCUGAGCUGGGCUCAGCUGAUGUUCUCCAGCAGGAGGAGGCGCUGGCCGGACGCGCUCCCUGUGCUGGGGCAGCCCCUGUGCCACGGGAGGACAUCUCUGCCUGCAGGAGCUGCUGAGCUCAUUCCAGAGCCUCGGGAGGGGCCUCUGGGAGUUCCUUUCCCUCAGGAAAGGGCUGCACAUCCCUGUCUUCAGGGCACCUGCACUGGGACCAACCUGGGAAAGCUUCCCAGCAGUUCUGCAGCUCCAGCUGGCUCCCUGAGAAUCUCCAACCUUAUUCCAGACGAAUUUCUCUGACUCUGACCUUUCAUUUCAAGGCAUCUCCGAGGGCAUUGCUUGGGAUUCAGUUUCUGGGAGGGAAAUUCCCUUGGCUUUAGCCCUGCUGCUGGAGGAUGUCCCCAGGCUGGAAGGGAAGGGAUGGGGCUGGCUGGG